UCUAAGUAUAACCUGCCAGACAGGGAAACUGCGUACGGCUCAUUACACCAGCCUUAAUUUACUUGACCUUGACAACCUACUUGGAUAACUGUGGUAAUUCUAGAGCUGAUACAUGCACCAAAGCUCCGAUCCUCGCGGAGAGGAGCGCAUUUGUUCGCCACAAAACCAAGCGCCCAUCUGGGCGUCCAGUGCUGAACCAGAACAACUCAGCUGAUCGCACGGUCUUGUACCGGCGACGUGUCUUUCAAGUGUCUGCCUUAUCAACUUUCGAUGGUAGUGUACCUGACUACCAUGGUUGUGACGGGUAACGGAGGAUAAGGGUUCGACUCCGGAGAAGGGGCCUGAGAAAUGGCCACUACGUCUAAGGAUGGCAGCAGGCGCGCAAAUUACCCACUCUCAACGCGAGGAGGUAGUGACGAGAAAUAACGAGACCGUUCUCAUACGAGGCCGGUUAUUGGAAUGGGUACAAUUUAAA
rnacentral:rRNA from 1 species